rnacentral:rRNA from 1 species
UACGGAGGAUGCAAGCGUUAUCCGGAAUGAUUGGGCGUAAAGCGUCCGCAGGUGGCUAUGUAAGUCUGCUGUUAAAGAGUGAGGCUCAACCUCAUAAGAGCAGUGGAAACUACAUGGCUAGAGUGCGUUCGGGGCAGAGGGAAUUCCCGGUGUAGAGGUGAAAUUCGUAGAUAUCGGGAGGAACACCGGUGGCGAAGGCGGCGAUCUGGGUCGAUACUGACGCUGAGGUGCGAAAGCGUGGGGAGCAAACAGG